rnacentral:ncRNA from 10 species
UACGUUCAUCUAUUAUAGACGGAAGUAGCGAAAGCGAAGGAACGCACC